UCUUUUUAAUAAAUGUUUUUGCCGGUUCCAUUCCGGCUACUAUCUGCUUAUUUAUAAGAUGGCUGCCUGUUUCAGCAUCCCAUCCUUCGUAUAUGGUUGCUACCUUUAAUUCAUGUUUUAUGUCUGCUUUAUGCUCUUUUGUCUGGGUUGGCAGCCAUACACCAUCCAUUUCUUCAAAUAUUACUUCUGUAUCUUUUUUAUCAGGACUGUAUUCUUCAGAUGUCCUGUUAUUUUCAUUUUCUGAUAUUUUAUUUCCUAAUGUAUUAACUAUAUUCCAUACUGCUGUAUGGCUAAUGUUAUUUCCUGUGGUAUCGUUUAAUUGUUCUGCAGCUUUCCUGUAGCUUUCUUCUGUAGCUGCUUUUACCACUUUUUCAAUCAAAUUGAUGGAAUACAUUCCGGUCUCUUUUGUAUUCAUAUAUUCAUCAAGCAGGUAUCUUGCAUUUCCAUUAUUAUCAAGAUACAUCUGUCUGCGGUAUUCUACAUUUCCGUAUAUUGUUUUUAUCGUUGUUGCCUUUUUGCCUUUAGAACGAAAUAUCUUUUUAUCCCGCUGUUUCAUCAGUGUAUUGUCAAUCUCUUCAAGUAUCUGUGCUGUUAUCUUACUUGCGGCAAGACACAUUGCAUUAAAUACCUGUUUUUCAAUCAUUUUAAAUUCCAUGGUAUCUUCCUCUUAUCAUUAUUUUUAUCCAGUCUGUAAUCCUGUGCUGGUACACGCACUUCACACGUCUGGAGCCUGUCCCUUAGUGUAAACAUUUCCGCUGUCCCAAGUGGUUUAACCUGAAAUGGGAGUGAGCCAUCCGCUUCGUUUAACCCGGUUACCAGCCGGCAUAGGUCUGUCUUCUGCUCACUUUCUUAAGCACACUAUUUAUAGCAGAAAGGUUUUCGCCCGCCUCCUUAUCUAUUUUGAACUUAUCCGCAAUCGUUUCGGUUAUAAGCACUUCCCUUUCCUCUGUUACAAGUAUCAUAUCGAAACCGCUUUCAUCUCGCCAAAAUUGCGUUGCCCUCUCCGCACCCAUAACAAAGCAAGCGGUUGAGAGCGAGUCGCACAAUUUUCCGUCUGAUGCUAUUAUCGAAACAGACACAAGUCCGUUGCUAACCGGCUUUCCCGUUUGCGGAUUCAUAAUGUGAUGAUAGACGUUUCCACUUUCGUCCGUAAAAUUGCGUUGAUAGCCGCCCGAAGUUAUAAUUGCCUUUCCGUCUAACUGCACCGUGCCAAAAUUGCUGUUUUCAAACGGCGAUCUUAUUCCUAUAUUCCAAUCUGUUCCGUCAUUCUUUUUUCCGAUAAGCUGAAUGUUGCCACCCAAGUUGACGAUUGCCGAAUCUAUACCAUACUCACGCAAACAUUCGAUUACCAAAUCGCCUAUAUAUCCUUUUGCCACCGCGCCCAAGUCAAGCUGCAUUCCUUGUCGGGUAAGUUCCGACCUGCACGAAUGGUGUAAUGAUCUGGACACUGUCUCAACGGUGAGCUCGGUGAAAUUGUAGUAUCGGUGAAGAUGCCGAUUACCCGCAACGGGACGGAAAGACCCCGUGAACCUUUACUGCAGCUUAGCAUUGGGACCGGGUGCGCGAUGUGUAGGAUAGUCAGGAGGCGAAGAAGUGAGCGCGCCAGCGUUUGCGGAGCCGUUGUUGAAAUACUGACCUUUGCGCAUUUGGUUUCUAACUUGCAAAAGCGAGGACACUGCUUGGCGGGUAGUUUGACUGGGGUGGUCGCCUCCAAAAGCGUAACGGAGGCUUCCAAAGGUGCCCUCGGGCCGAUUGGUAACCGGCCUAACAGAGUGCAAUGGCAUAAGGGCGCUUGACUGGGAGGCAGACAUGCCGAGCAGGCAGGAAACUGGGGCAUAGUGAUCCGGCGGAUGUGUAUGGAAACUCCGUCGCUCAAAGGAUAAAAGGUACUCCGGGGAUAACAGGCUGAUCCCCCCCAAGAGCUCAUAUCGACGGGGUGGUUUGGCACCUCGAUGUCGGCUCGUCACAUCCUGGGGCUGGAGAAGGUCCCAAGGGUUGGGCUGUUCGCCCAUUAAAGUGGCACGCGAGCUGGGUUCAGAACGU
rnacentral:rRNA from 1 species